AACGCGAAGAACCUUACCUGGGCUCGAAAUGUAGAGGACGUUAUCAGAGAUGAUAACUCUCGAAAGGGUCUUUACAUAGGUGCUGCAUGGCUGUCGUCAGCUCGUGCCGUGAGGUGUUUGGUUAAGUCCAGCAACGAGCGCAACCCUUAUCGUUAGUUGCCAGCGCGUAAUGGCGGGAACUCUAACGAGACUGCCUGGGUUAACCAGGAGGAAGGUGAGGAUGACGUCAAGUCCGCAUGGCCUUUAUGUCCAGGGCAACACACGUGCUACAAUGGUCGGUACAGAAGGCAGCGAAACCGCGAGGUGAAGCAAAUCCUAUAAAACCGAUCUCAGUUCAGAUUGUAGUCUGCAACUCGACUACAUGAAGUUGGAAUUGCUAGUAAUGGCGUGUCAGCUACAACGCCGUGAAUACGUUCCCGGGCCUUGUA
rnacentral:rRNA from 1 species